GGAGGGAUGCCCGAGUGGUUAAAGGGAGCAGACUGUAACUCUGCCGCGAUUUCGCUACGAAGGUUCGAAUCCUUCUCCCUCCACCA
rnacentral:tRNA from 1 species